AUGGUCAACUUAUUCCCAAUACUUGGAACUCAAUCAAUCUACGAUAUUACAGAUGAUCGGUAUGAGGGAAGAUGCUUGCCUCCCUAUGGGUUAACUACACUACUGUACUUCCAUAGGAAGAUCCUUAUUGCCCUACGGGGUAAUUAUAAUGAUCAUUACUGUUUCCUCCAAAGUCAAACGCGAACAUUUGAAUCUGCAUCUCCGUCUUCACCGCCGUCGACUCCAUUUCCGCUUCUAUAG